rnacentral:misc_RNA from 1 species
GAUGAAGAACGCAGCGAAAUGCGAUAAGUAGUGUGAAUUGCAGAAUUCAGUGAAUCAUCGAAUCUUUGAACGCACAUUGCGGCCAUAGGUAUUCCUUUGGCCAUGCCUGUUCGAGCGUCAUUUACACCCUCAAGCCUAGCUUGGUGUUGGGCGUCUGUCCCGCCGUUCUCGCGCGCGGACUCGCCUCAAAGUCAUUGGCGGCGGUCGUGCCGGCCCCCUCGCGCAGCACAUUUGCGCUUCUCGGAGGCCCGGCGGAUCCGCGCUCCAGCAAGACCUUUCACGACUUGACCUCGGAUCAGGUAGGGAUACCCGCUGAACUUAAGCAUAUCAAUAAGCGAGGA